GUUCACUUGAACUAUGGUUUUUCAGCUGGUUUUUCUCCGCUGAAAUCGAUUAAAGGUUUUUUUCUACUUUGUUCUUACCUUACUCGCUCUUUCAUACAUAUGAGCUGAGCAUAUUGGUGCAUGCACACAUCGAAAAGGAAACGGUAAAAACUUAUUUGCCAAGGUAUUAACGCCACACGACAACGGCAGUUCUCGUUCCCAUAUAUGUACAUUGCCCUAAUUACAAAUAAAAAUAAAAUACGUAUAAUUUAA